rnacentral:rRNA from 1 species
UACGGAAUGUGCAAACGUUAUUCGGAAUCACUGGGCUUAAAGAGUCCGUAGGCGGCUUGUUAGGUGAGGUGUGAAAUCCCCCGGCUCAACCGAGGAAUUGCGCUUCAAACCGGCGUGCUUGAGGAAGAUAGAGGUGGGCGGAACUGAUGGUGGAGCGGUGAAAUGCGUUGAUAUCAUCAGGAACACCGGAGGCGAAGGCGGCCCACUGGGUCUUUUCUGACGCUGAGGGACGAAAGCUAGGGGAGCGAACGGG